UCAUCCACGACAGUUCCCCAACCUAGCGAUGCGGGAGCGACGACAGCGACACUGGAGGUUCGACUGGUCCGACGUACGGCGCCUCGCCGGGCGACUGGACGGGAUCCACUAGCCUGCGAAACCGGACGGUGCCAUCGCACGAAGAGCCCAACUCGAUUCAACUUCUAUCGCUAUUUGAGACCUUAAUUGUCAUCAAUAGCAGUGGAUGGGGCCGCCGCCAAUUAUUAUUGGAAAUCAUUCUCCAAGAGCGAUGGCUAAUAUUUUAGGAUUCGAGGCUGAUUCUGCUGGAUUAGAAGGUUUAGGCAUUAUUGUAUUCAAUGGCUAACAGAUAGGAACCGAUGGAACCAUCUUCUGCCAAGGCACAAGAAGCACCAUCUUUUGAAAUUGCUAUCGCGAUCAAAAAUGAUUCGCACAACACUAAGAACAAGCCAUAAAAAAGGAUCGACUCGAACCGAAGCCAACACAUCAACUUCCGCAAAGAAGAAGAUGCACUUAUCAUAAAAGUGCUUCGAUCAGCUUAUUUCAGAAGCAAAGAAAGGAACGACGAUCUUCUGCAUACUACUGCAUGAUCAGAUGAUCAACGAUUUUGUCUUCACCAGUUAACAUGUCUUUGUACUAUGUUUGGCAAAAACUAUUCCUCUUUCAUGCACUGAAUAAUGAAACAACUUAUGCAUUUCCAUACAUAUGGUUAUCGUACCUCUAAAUAUAUUUGUUUCCAUAACUCUGGUUUCUAUUCCUAUAGGAAAAUGCACUUCUUCGAUCUUCUACUAUUCUACCAAGAAUGUUUAAGAUGCACUUCUUCGAUCUUCUACUAUUCUAGAAUGUUUAAAUCCCAAUGGUAUAAUAUCUCAAUUUUAUUAGCAUAACAAAAUGCAUCUUUUUAGUUUUCAGUUGAUCUUUUAAUAUGCAAAAUAAGGAUUCCUACCCUAAAUUCAGCAGUCGAAGCAGACCUUUAGUGCCCACCCCUCAAAAAAAUGAAGCAUGGAGCUACUAAUUCCUCUCAUGUAUCAUUGUUUCUCCUCAUUUUUCUUCCCUACAAGGCUAACGCCAGCAAAUGCAAAUGACAUUAUUCAUCGGUUACCAAAAAAACCCAGUUAUCAGUUACAGAUGUGCGGUGCCAAAUGAUAACUGAGUGCUUAUAAAUGCCUGAAUAUUAGCCUGACCUCUCACACACCCUUCUACUACAAGUAUAGAAUAUUUCCAUAUAACAUGUUAAAGUAUUAAUCAAUUUCUGCCAAAAAGUACCUACGUUCUCAAUUCAUACAAGAAUAUCCAAUAUACUUCCAAAUUCGGGGGAUAGGUAUUAAACAAUAAAAUUUUGCAGCAAAUCAAAUACACUAUAUGAUGGUACCUAUUCCCAGAUAUAUAUAAAUUCAGCCAAACCAACACCAAGACAACCGUUCAAUCCAUGAAUAUGAGAUGAAAAGCAAA